GCCAGGAGGUUGUAAGAGAUUCUGACACAAUGUUUAGAGAUUGAGACAGAAUCUAACAUGAUGUCAGGAUUUCCCAGAACCUGCUGC
ensembl:miRNA gga-mir-1667 gga-mir-1667